CUUGGUUCUCCUGUAUUUUUAUCUUUUAAAAUUAAUGAAUAAUUUCAACGCUAUUAGAUCCCCACAGUCUGCCAGGGAGAAGACAAAACUCCAAGUAUAAAGAGAUGUCACUCAAGUAAGAGAUGCAGAUGUUGCCCUUGCCCUGGAAGACCCAUGCCCAUCCACACCAAACUACUUAGGGAGUGUCGGCAUACAUCGUUGACUCCCCGCCACCUCUCGAGAACGUUGCUUCCAAGUGAAUGACUUGGACUCAGGAAAAUGUACUUCUGUGAAAGAGAAGACUGGACUGUGGGAGGAAAUCAACGUUUGUGGUGAAGAGGCACGGUUUCCUAAAGGGAGGGCAGAGAUUUGCAGAGCAGAAGUCAGAAAAUGAAGUAUGAGGCGGAAGGUGCCAGAUUAGGAGCAUGCAUGUGUUCCAUUGUGAAUGUUUUAGCUCCUUGGGUGCUGUCUCUCAAGGCCUUGGGAAAGUCGUAUUUGGGGCACAUUUGGUGAUGGCCUUGAAUUACACUGAGCCGUGCAAUAAAGUCUGAGAAAACUAUUCUGUGUAUGGUAGUGGUGGGAGGCCUGCACUAGUGAGCCUUGCCGCCUUGGUGCCCAUGGACAGGGGCAGGCGGCCUUCUACCAGGCUGGGAUGGGGCCAGAGGAGGGGAGGGGUGCUACGAGGGGACCACUCUCACACAGAGGGGAGGCAACAUUUCCAAUUAGACAGAGCAGCCUCCCUUCCCCACAAGGCAGAUAACUUUUCUCUAACCUGCUCUUUGUUGGAAAGUCACUUGGGUUAACUUGUCAAAAAGUUUAGAGAUCCCAGAAUUCUGAAAAUCAUCAUAACUGUGGUUCCCUUUAUCCUUAAUAUUUCCACUUCCGAAGAGUUUGCGGGUAAGGAAGAGGCCAGAGGGCCUGUGGAUAUUGGACAACUUAUGUUAUCUGCGUGGUCCCAGUGAGCCGUGGAAACACUGGUGGGAAGAGAGUUGUCAUAGCAGUACUCUGCAUUUAAAGAACUCUAAGGACUAAAAUAGCUACAUAACUGAUCUUUAUCAAAUAGCAUUUAUUUCAUAAACUUAAUAUCUCAGUAAUUAGUUCAGUAACUACUGAACAAGAUUAUAAAAUACUUUUGAAAAAUUGUAUUGCUUUCAACAUAGAUUGAGUAUCACAUGUUCUCAAUUUGAAUGUAUCGUCUCCAAUCUAGACAUUAAUUCAAAGCCAAAACAGCCAUUUGGCUAUCAAUAUGCAUUCAUUUUACAUGGAUAUGUGUAUUUAUAUACAGUUCAAUGUUCAAUAUAAGAUCACUCAUUUCCCUGUUGAGUAUCCCAGAAAGUCUGCAUCAGUUUGCC
rnacentral:lncRNA from 1 species